CGUUCUUACUUCGCCAUGACUUUCAAAAAGUAACACCCUCCUCAUACAAAAUAAUUAUAAAUUAAGCACCAUGCAUGUGUUGAAUCCACUAAAUAUCUUCCCUUUUCCUCACCAUGUUCAGUCAUAUAGGAAUCUUUACCAAGUCCUCUAAGACUCUUAUCAUAUAUUUCUUUUUUUCUCGCAAUCGCAAACAUACACAUCGUUUUGUUCACGUCUCCAACUCUCUCUCAUCUAGGAGAUUAUACCGCUAGACCGGGCAAAAGGCCCGUUGGUCCCCAUCAUAUAUUUCUCUCUCACAUUCCUUAUAUGUGAACUCCAUUAAUACAUGAUCAUAGCCAUUUCAACAAUGGAUCCAAUCAAGAGUCCAAGAAAACUUCAACCCAAUAAAUGUUACAAGAAGGGUGAGUACUUUUUAACAAUCUCAUUAUUCUUCACUCUCUCAUAGCUCUAAUUUGUACUUUGUUGUGUUCGUAUCCUUUGUGAUUCCACCCUCUAUUGUCUUCAAUGAACCACUUUGUCCUUGUUAGUAUCCAAAACUUCAUUUCUUUCUUCUUCAACCCCAAGUGCUUGUUCAUAGUAGGCAAUGUUAUUGUUGCAAAAAUACCAAUUCAUUGAACUUGCAUCAUUUAACAGAAAAAGAGUAACAAUUAUUUAUGGUAUUUAGAACAUUCAACCAUUGGGUGCUAGUGACAUACAACAGUUCAUCACAGGUUCACUUCCACCCUUCGUCUCCUUCACGACUUGAAUUUACUCUCUUCUUUGGCCUUCCUUUUUCUCCUAAUAUUACCCUCUGACUUAUGUGACUCUUUUAUCUAAUCUCAAUUCCUAGGGCUUUCUUUAGCAAAUUGUCAGUCACCACCUACUCGGCGCUCGUCUGUUCUGGUCAGAUCCGCCGGUGGCUGUAUUGUCUAUUCCGAUCAGCUUCGCCGGCGUUCUCUCCGUAUUGUCAAUUUGUCUUCACAGACUUGAGUAAAGACCACAACUUUCAAUCUGUCUUGCCGUUUCCCUUGUGUUCUGAUCAGAUCUACCGGUGACGGUUUUUUAUGCUUUCCGGUUGUUUAUUCCGAUCAACUUCGCCGGCGGUCUCUCUGUUUCUCCAGAGACUUGAGCAAAGGCAACAACUUUCUAUCUGUCUCGCCGUUUCCCUUGUUUUCUGAUUAGAUCCGACGGUGCCGGUUUUAUAUACUUUCCGAUUGUUUAUUCCGACCAGCUUUGCCUUCGGGGUCUCUGUUUUUCCAGAGACUUGAGCAAAGGCCUCAACUUUCUAAGUGUCUCGCCGUUUCCCUUGUUUUCUGAUCAGAUCUAACGGUACCAGUUUUAUAUACUUUCCGACUGGAUCUAUCUGUUUUUCCAGCCACAACUAUUUUAUACUUACCGAUUGUUUAUUCGGAUCAGCUUCGCCCGCGAUCUCUCUGUUUCUCAACAGAUGCGUGUAAAGGUCACAACUUUCUACGUCUGCCUUGCACCUCUCCUUGGUAGUAAAUUUCCUGAGAGUUGUAUUAGGAUUUGUUAUUUUGCCUAUAUAAUAAUUAGAACAUUUCAAAAAAAGGAAAGGAUCUGAAGUGGUAGAGAGAAGAGAAGAAGAAGAAGAAGAAGAAGAAGAAGAAGUGCCCAAAUCUCCUCCGCCGCUGCUGAAAUCAUACCUGGUGAUGGAAAUCCUUCUGCUUCUGCCGCCGAAAUGCCUCCUUCGAUUCGACUCUGUCUCGAAAACAUGGGUUCUCUCUACUCUCCGAUCGUACCUUCUCUAUCCUGGCAAGAGCGCAAACAAUCCCAUGAUCAUCCCAAAAUUUCCGGCCUUUUCUUCACCUGUGAAUCCUGAACUCAAAUAGUCAAAUCAAAUACAUUCCUCUCAACGAAACAGAUGAUGUACCAUGUCAAUACAACUGCAAUGGUCUGCUGCUCUGCUGUUCAAAAAAGCCAGGCUAUAGUCCCCGAUCUUUGCUUCAGAGAAUACCACACAAGUAUAACAAGGAUAAUUACUUGUAUCAAAUUCAUAUUUAUUCGUCAGAAACCAAUGCUUGGAGACCCUUUGGUGGUGAUACUAUCCAGGCAAGGUCAGAAUCACCGUCGCACUUGGAUUAUGGAGUCUAUUCCAAUGGUUCCAUCCAUUGGGUUUCCUUCCACCCAGAACAAGCUCCCAUAUACUUUGAUGUUGAUCGGGAGAGAUUGUGCCCAAUGCCAUCUCUAUCAAUAUUACAUAAUUUUGAUUUUUUUUUUUUCCGGCAUUUUGGGGAGUCUGGAGGUCGUUUACAUUUCACUCAGUCAUCUAGUUACACCACAUACAGUAUUGACAUCUCUGAGAUGGAAAGCGAUUACUCCAAGUGGUCGUUCAAGUAUCGGGUUGACCUUAACGGGAUGUUAGAUUUUGUAUCACGGGACAUGAUUAUGAGCCAUAUCGUGACUGUGUUUGGUUUAGUAGAUGGAGAAGAUGAAGAAGAUGUGUAUUUGAUGCUAUUUGUAGGCACCAACAUGAUUAUCUCUUACAACUUAAAGGAUAAUACCUUUAAGAAGCUUCAUGAUGUAGCACACUAUCCUGGUUGUUUUCUACUCCUGGGCUUGUACUGUAUAAACACUGUAGACUCUGCGCAUUCAUUGAGGCAUGGAUUUUAUUUUAGUUUGUAUAA